rnacentral:rRNA from 1 species
GACAGAGGGUGCAAACGUUGUUCGGAAUUACUGGGCGUAAAGCGCGUGUAGGCGGCUCUGUAAGUCGGGUGUGAAAUCCCACGGCUCAACCGUGGAAGUGCACUCGAAACUACAGGGCUAGAGUCCUGGAGAGGAAGGUGGAAUGCUUGGUGUAGAGGUGAAAUUCGUAGAUAUCAAGAGGAACACCGGUGGCGAAGGCGGCGUCCUGGACCAACACUGACACUGAGGAGCGAAAGCCAGGGGAGCAAACGGG